CCUACGGGUGGCAGCAGUGGGGAAUAUUGCGCAAUGGGCGAAAGCCUGACGCAGCGACGCCGCGUGAGGGAUGAAGGUCUUCGGAUCGUAAACCUCUGUCAGCAGGGCAGAACGGUCACUGUGCUAAUCAGCAGUGAAUUGACGGUACCUGCAAAGGAAGCACCGGCUAACUCCGUGCCAGCAGCCGCGGUAAUACGGAGGGUGCGAGCGUUAAUCGGAAUUACUGGGCGUAAAGCGCUCGUAGGCGGUAGGUCAAGUCAAGGGUGAAAUCCCCGGGCUCAACGUGGGAACUGCCUUUGAAACUGGCAAACUGGAGUGUGUGAGAGGAUAGUGGAAUUCGAGGUGGAGGAGUGAAAUGCGUAGAUAUCUGGAGGAACAUCAGUGGCGAAGGCGACUAUCUGGCACAUAACUGACGCUGAGGAGCGAAAGCGUGGGUAGCAAACAGGAUUAGAUACCCCUGUAGUC
rnacentral:rRNA from 1 species